AAGAAUAAAUACUCCUGACUGACCGAUAGUGAACCAGUACCGUGAGGGAAAGGCGAAAAGAACCCCGGCGAGGGGAGUGAAAAAGAACCUGAAACCGUGUACGUACAAGCAGUGGGAGCACAGAGCAAUCUGUGUGACUGCGUACCUUUUGUAUAAUGGGUCAGCGACUUAUAUUCUGUAGCAAGGUUAACCGAAUAGGGGAGCCGAAGGGAAACCGAGUCUUAACUGGGCGUUAAGUUGCAGGGUAUAGACCCGAAACCCGGUGAUCUAGCCAUGGGCAGGUUGAAGGUUGGGUAACACUAACUGGAGGACCGAACCGACUAAUGUUGAAAAAUUAGCGGAUGACUUGUGGCUGGGGGUGAAAGGCCAAUCAAACCGGGAGAUAGCUGGUUCUCCCCGAAAGCUAUUUAGGUAGCGCCUCGUGAAUUCAUCUCCGGGGGUAGAGCACUGUUUCGGCAAGGGGGUCAUCCCGACUUACCAACCCGAUGCAAACUGCGAAUACCGGAGAAUGUUAUCACGGGAGACACACGGCGGGUGCUAACGUCCGUCGUGAAGAGGGAAACAACCCAGACCGCCAGCUAAGGUCCCAAAGUCAUGGUUAAGUGGGAAACGAUGUGGGAAGGCCCAGACAGCCAGGAUGUUGGCUUAGAAGCAGCCAUCAUUUAAAGAAAGCGUAAUAGCUCACUGGUCGAGUCGGCCUGCGCGGAAGAUGUAACGGGGCUAAACCAUGCACCGAAGCUGCGGCAGCGACGCUUAUGCGUUGUUGGGUAGGGGAGCGUUCUGUAAGCCUGCGAAGGUGUGCUGUGAGGCAUGCUGGAGGUAUCAGAAGUGCGAAUGCUGACAUAAGUAACGAUAAAGCGGGUGAAAAGCCCGCUCGCCGGAAGACCAAGGGUUCCUGUCCAACGUUAAUCGGGGCAGGGUGAGUCGACCCCUAAGGCGAGGCCGAAAGGCGUAGUCGAUGGGAAACAGGUUAAUAUUCCUGUACUUGGUGUUACUGCGAAGGGGGGACGGAGAAGGCUAUGUUGGCCGGGCGACGGUUGUCCCGGUUUAAGCGUGUAGGCUGGUUUUCCAGGCAAAUCCGGAAAAUCAAGGCUGAGGCGUGAUGACGAGGCACUACGGUGCUGAAGCAACAAAUGCCCUGCUUCCAGGAAAAGCCUCUAAGCAUCAGGUAACAUCAAAUCGUACCCCAAACCGACACAGGUGGUCAGGUAGAGAAUACCAAGGCGCUUGAGAGAACUCGGGUGAAGGAACUAGGCAAAAUGGUGCCGUAACUUCGGGAGAAGGCACGCUGAUAUGUAGGUGAAGCGACUUGCUCGUGGAGCUGAAAUCAGUCGAAGAUACCAGCUGGCUGCAACUGUUUAUUAAAAACACAGCACUGUGCAAACACGAAAGUGGACGUAUACGGUGUGACGCCUGCCCGGUGCCGGAAGGUUAAUUGAUGGGGUCAGCGCAAGCGAAGCUCUUGAUCGAAGCCCCGGUAAACGGCGGCCGUAACUAUAACGGUCCUAAGGUAGCGAAAUUCCUUGUCGGGUAAGUUCCGACCUGCACGAAUGGCGUAAUGAUGGCCAGGCUGUCUCCACCCGAGACUCAGUGAAAUUGAACUCGCUGUGAAGAUGCAGUGUACCCGCGGCAAGACGGAAAGACCCCGUGAACCUUUACUAUAGCUUGACACUGAACAUUGAGCCUUGAUGUGUAGGAUAGGUGGGAGGCUUUGAAGUGUGGACGCCAGUCUGCAUGGAGCCGACCUUGAAAUACCACCCUUUAAUGUUUGAUGUUCUAACGUUGACCCGUAAUCCGGGUUGCGGACAGUGUCUGGUGGGUAGUUUGACUGGGGCGGUCUCCUCCUAAAGAGUAACGGAGGAGCACGAAGGUUGGCUAAUCCUGGUCGGACAUCAGGAGGUUAGUGCAAUGGCAUAAGCCAGCUUGACUGCGAGCGUGACGGCGCGAGCAGGUGCGAAAGCAGGUCAUAGUGAUCCGGUGGUUCUGAAUGGAAGGGCCAUCGCUCAACGGAUAAAAGGUACUCCGGGGAUAACAGGCUGAUACCGCCCAAGAGUUCAUAUCGACGGCGGUGUUUGGCACCUCGAUGUCGGCUCAUCACAUCCUGGGGCUGAAGUAGGUCCCAAGGGUAUGGCUGUUCGCCAUUUAAAGUGGUACGCGAGCUGGGUUUAGAACGUCGUGAGACAGUUCGGUCCCUAUCUGCCGUGGGCGCUGGAGAACUGAGGGGGGCUGCUCCUAGUACGAGAGGACCGGAGUGGACGCAUCACUGGUGUUCGGGUUGUCAUGCCAAUGGCACUGCCCGGUAGCUAAAUGCGGAAGAGAUAAGUGCUGAAAGCAUCUAAGCACGAAACUUGCCCCGAGAUGAGUUCUCCCUGACUCCUUGAGAGUCCUGAAGGAACGUUGAAGACGACGACGUUGAUAGGCCGGGUGUGUAAGCGCAGCGAUGCGUUGAGCUAACCGGUACUAAUGAACCGUGAGGCUUAACCUU
rnacentral:rRNA from 1 species